UGAAUGCAAUGAUGACUGCAUAGUUCAGCAGAUAAACAUGAAGAAGAAAGUGUCUUUCGCUCCUAUCUGAUGCAUCAG
ensembl:snoRNA